rnacentral:rRNA from 1 species
AAUCCGGAUCUCUAAGACCGAGAACUGAUGACGAUUAUCUUUUCGGAGAUAAGAAGUGGUCGAUGCCAUGCUUCCAGGAAAAACUUCUAAGCUAUAGGUAGCAAGGAAUCGUACCGUAAACCGACACAGGUGGUCAGGUAGAGAAUACUAAGGCGCUUGAGAGAACUCUGGUGAAGGAACUAGGCAAAAUGGUACCGUAACUUCGGGAGAAGGUACGCCCUCAUUACGUGACGAGACUUGCUCUCUGAGCGGAAGAGGGUCGAAGAUACCAGGUGGCUGCGACUGUUUACUAAAAACAUAGCACUCUGCAAACACGAAAGUGGACGUAUAGGGUGUGACGCCUGCCCGGUGCCGGAAGGUUAAUUGAUCGGGUUAGCCCCUCGUGGGCGAAGCUCGUGAUCGAAGCCCCGGUGAACGGCGGCCGUAACUAUAACGGUCCUAAGGUAGCGAAAUUCCUUGUCGGGUAAGUUCCGACCUGCACGAAUGGCGUAACGAUGGCCACGCUGUCUCCACCAGAGACUCAGUGAAAUUGAAUUUGCGGUGAAGAUGCCGUAUACGCGCGGCUAGACGGAAAGACCCCGUGCACCUUUACUAUAGGUUCACACUGGACUUUGAGUUUAUUUGUGUAGGAUAGGUGGGAGACUUUGAAGCAGGAGCGCCAGCUCUUGUGGAGUCGUCCUUGAAAUACCACCCUAUUAAAUUUGGAGUUCUAACUUAGGCCCGUAAUCCGGGUCGAGGACAGUGUGUGCUGGGUAGUUUGACUGGGGCGGUCUCCUCCCAAAGAGUAACGGAGGAGUGCGAAGGUAACCUCAGCACGGUCGGACAUCGUGCAAUGAGUGCAAUGGCAUAAGGUUGCUUAACUGCGAGACUGACACGUCGAGCAGAUACGAAAGUAGGUCAUAGUGAUCCGGUGGUUCUGAAUGGAAGGGCCAUCGCUCAACGGAUAAAAGGUACGCCGGGGAUAACAGGCUAAUACCCCCCAAGAGUUCACAUCGACGGGGGUGUUUGGCACCUCGAUGUCGGCUCAUCACAUCCUGGGGCUGAAGCAGGUCCCAAGGGUAUGGCUGUUCGCCAUUUAAAGUGGUACGCGAGCUGGGUUUAGAACGUCGUGAGACAGUUCGGUCCCUAUCUGCCGUGCGCGUUGGAAAAUUGAGAAGAGUUGCUCCUAGUACGAGAGGACCGGAGUGAACGAACCGCUGGUGUUCGGGUUGUCAUGCCAAUGGCAUUGCCCGGUAGCUAUGUUCGGAAAGGAUAACCGCUGAAAGCAUAUAAGCGGGAAGCCUCCUUCAAGACUAGUUUUCCCUGGACCUUCGGGUCCUUAGAGAGCC